AUCAUAACGCGACACGUGUCAACAUCAGAGGCCAAUCACAACACGACACGUGUUAAUGUCAUAAUGAAACUAGAAACUAUCUUCUAUAAAUAGAGAUCAUUCUUUCACAAUAUUUCCUAAUGUCAUUUGUACUAAAUCAUUCACUAGUACUCACUAAAAGAGAGCUUGAAUCUAUGUACUUGUGUAAACCCUUCACAAUUAAUGAGAACUCCUCUACUCCGUGGACGUAGCCAAUCUGGGUGAACCACAUACAUCUUGUAUUUGCUUCCCUGUCUCUAUCCAUUUGCAUACUUAUCCACAUUAGUGACCGGAGCAAUCUAGCAAAGGUCACACACUUGACACUUUCUGUUGUACCAAUGUCCUCACUGAUUUUAUGCAUGGCGCCGUCUGUGGGAACGACACUUAUUCCCUCUUCAGCUUUUUUAAGCUGGUUUCCACCA
rnacentral:lncRNA from 1 species